ACGCUUGAAGUCAGUCGCGUCGUCCAGGGAUCAACCUUGCUUUUGCUUGGUGCACUUUCUGGUUUGACGGGUCAGCAUCAAUUUUGACCAUAUAUUGGAAAAAGAUUGAGGGAAUGUGGCAUCCUUGGAUGUGUUAUAGCCCUUGGUCGCAUACAAUGGUUGGGAUUGAGGAACUCAGCACGCCGCAAGGCCGGGUGUCUUUUACACCACGUACGUGCUUAGGAUGCUGGCAAUAUGGCUUUAAUCGACCCGUCUUGAAACACGGACCAAGGAGUC
rnacentral:rRNA from 1 species